rnacentral:rRNA from 1 species
AUUGAACUCUGGCGGCAGGCCUAACACAUGCAAGUCGAACGAGUGGCGGACGGGUGAGUAAUGUCUGGGAAACUGCCCGAUGGCGGGGGAUAACUAAUGGAAACGGUAGCUAAUACCGCCUACCAUCGGAUGUGCCCAGAUGGGAUUAGGUAGUAGGUGGGGUAACGGCUAACCUAGGCGACGAUCCCUAGCUGGUCUGAGAGGAUGACCAGCAACACUUGAACGUAGAGAAGGUCCAGACUCUUCCGGGAGGCAGAAGGGGGGAAUAUUGCACAAGGGGCGAAAGCCUGAUGCAGCCAUGCAGCGUGUAUGAAGAAGGCCUUCGGGUUGUAAAGUACUUUCAGUGAGGAGGCGUUACCCGCAGAAGAAGCACCGGCUAACUCCGUGCCAGCAGCCGCGGUAAUAC